AUUGAACGCUGGCGGCAUGCCUUACACAUGCAAGUCGAACGGCAGCACGGGAGCUUGCUCCUGGUGGCGAGUGGCGAACGGGUGAGUAAUACAUCGGAACGUACCCUGAAGUGGGGGAUAACGUAGCGAAAGUUACGCUAAUACCGCAUAUUCUGUGAGCAGGAAAGAGGGGGAUCGCAAGACCUCUUGCUUUAGGAGCGGCCGAUGUCGGAUUAGCUAGUUGGUGAGGUAAAGGCUCACCAAGGCGACGAUCCGUAGCGGGUCUGAGAGGAUGAUCCGCCACACUGGGACUGAGACACGGCCCAGACUCCUACGGGAAGCAGCAGUGGGGAAUUUUGGACAAUGGGCGCAAGCCUGAUCCAGCCAUGCCGCGUGAGUGAAGAAGGCCU
rnacentral:rRNA from 1 species